GAUCCUGGCUCAGGAUGAACGCUGGCGGCGUGCUUAACACAUGCAAGUCGAACGAAGCGCUUUGGAUGGAUUUCUUCGGAUUGAUAUCCUUAGUGAUUGAGUGGCGGACGGGUGAGUAACGCGUGGGUAACCUGCCUCAUACAGGGGGAUAACAGUUAGAAAUGGCUGCUAAUACCGCAUAAGCGCACAGUACCGCAUGGUACCGUGUGAAAAACUCCGGUGGUAUGAGAUGGACCCGCG
rnacentral:rRNA from 1 species